rnacentral:lncRNA from 1 species
AUUAAAUAGUGCUCAGUUUAGUUAAAUAAAUUUGCCAAAAUCAUGAUCAUAUUAACCACUGAGACAGUCUAUCCAUGAAAAGAAACAAGGCUGAGUUUUUGUUGUUGUUGUUGUUGUUUACUAUGUGCAUCGUUGUGUAGGUAGGACCUAAGUAUGUAGAGAUGGAUGUAUGAAACAGAAGAAUAUGGAAUCUGAACUUAGGAUGGGCUUCAGCUUCUUAUAUUCCAGCUGUUUUAUAUCUGUUAACAAGAGGACAACACAAAUCAAGGCUAAAUAGCAACACUGGAAGAAGAAAAGGAAAAGAGAAAACAGGAACAACACAGACCCAAAAUAACCCUUGCCGUUAGCAUCACAGAGUCCUAAGUCAGGAAAACUACUACUGAGCCUGUUGUCAGUAAGAUAAAAGGUAGGGAAGGUUUGGCUUUAGGUAUCUCUCAGUGUAAAAUCCAGUUAAUUUCUUAUUAAACCUGAAAAUCAGUCCCUGACUGAGCCCUUGAAAGAUAAAUAAAAUGCUGAUAAAUUUGUCUAGCUCCA